GCAGGUUACUCAUCUCUACAACCACUUGUAGGAGUCAUUCAGCAACUGAAUUCAUCUGUUUAUUGAUUACAGAACUUCAUCACUGUUCAGAAAACCAUCAGAACUCGAAACAAGUCAUCUUCAGUUGUCUCAUAAGAUGCCUUUGCCAGCUGAUAGUUGAUAACAGUUGUGUUAAUUGUUUUAAACAUCAUGCUUCGAAGGCAUGGAAAAAUGCAACCUAUGAACAGGCAAAAAAGAAUCAAAACACCCAGAAUAGGUGUUUCAAGCUUCACCAGUAAAUUCCACCAUGGUCUGGAAGUGAGCCAAGAAAGAAAAUCAAAAGGAGAUGAUCCUUGUGUUCCACUUUCUAUGUAAUGUUUAAGUUCCUCCAGUUCCUGUUUCAUCAGGCACAAAAGUACAGCACGUUGGGCCAAUGAUUUUAGAAACACCUCCCUGAGAGGCUGUGAGGAAGUCCAAUAUAACACGGUUUUGCAUAACCAUGUUUCUCAGUUCAGUCAGCUCUCUCACGGUGCCGUUGGCUGUGUACUGUUGAUGAGUCGCAGUAAUUCAUAUCUGUUGAUCUCAACGUGGCUUCGAAUCUCACCUACUCCGACCCAUGGAAAGAUGCCUUGCAUAAAUUUUUUCUCCUGAAGCAAGUUGUCACAGUCUGGGUUGUCCUUCCAGACUUUGCAGCCGGGGGUUGCCCUCUGACCCCUGCAGGCAAUGCAGUUGAUGUAAUCCGGUGUCGUGUCGCAGUAGGUGUAAACUUUGUUACACAAGUUCCAAGGUGGCAUCCCAAGAGAAACGUGUCCGUUGUUGUAAACACAGCUCCUCAGAGAUCCUGGUUUAGCUCCUGCUAAAGAAAUGGUCUCUGGUAUUUUCCAUACAGUUUGUUGAGAUGACGGAAAAGGAAGUACAUCGUCUGCAAGUGAACAAUUUAAAGAUUGAAACAGUCCUUGCACAGCCUCUCCCAUCCGGAGGUCAGCUGAAUAGUCCUUCUCACGUGGUCUGUCUCCCCUUAGGGGUGGGAUGCGCCGCGGUCUGGUGCUUAGAACAUAGAGACACAUCUGUUUGUCGUCAGUAAUGUUACCUGGUCGGAGACCUGAGUUGUGUAUGGAAACCGGCAGCUGCGCACACACGUAGCAGUUCACAGCAUGUCCCUCAUAAGCGGUUCUGUUCAUCAGUUUCCACCACAGAUUGGUACUGUAGUCAUGCGGCAGUCACAGCGCAGUAGAAGAUCCAUCUGGCAUAUGGAGUCCCCAUUGCUGCUCGGCGUACAGAGAUGUCAGAACCCCCAAACUAAAGAGUGAGGAUCUGUCGAGUUUCUUCACUGGCGUUGAGACAAACCGCCCUA